GUGCAACCUUCGCUCACUACAAUCUCUUGGUUUCAAGCAAUCCUCCUGGCUUAGCUUCCCCAGUAGCUGGGAUUACAGGCGCAGGCCACCGCACCCCGCUAAUUUUGUAUAUUUAGUAGUGACAGGGUUUUACUAUGUUGGCAGGCUGGUCUGGAACUCCUGACCUGAGAUGAUCCGCCCACCUUGGCCUCCCAAAGUGCUGGGAUUACAGGCAUGAGCCACUGCGUCCUGCCAGUAGAGCAGUGUUUACUUUGAAUGAAAAACAAUGACCUGUAAUUUUUUUUCUAGAAUUGACAUAAUACAAAACAAAUUGCUCCGGACCCGGUAUCGUGUACUUUUAUUUUUUUAACCGCAGCUCCCUUCCGCAGGCUGAACACCUUAGGGACCAGCAACCAGAUGGUGUCGUUUGCAGUGAAGAUCGAACUCGAGUUGUAGCCGAAUUGGAGAGGAGAGAGUGACAUGUGCGCCCCCUUCCUGCGGUCGGUAGAUGCACCAUGGGAAGCUCGAGCGUCUCAGGUGAACCUGGUGAUGUGCAGCCAGCCACCUGCCUUCUCAUGGCCUGAAGGGGAUGGAAGCCGAUGUUUCUAAGUCUCUUACCCUGCGGAGCUCAGAAAGGCGAAGGUCACCCAGACAGCAAGUGACCAAGCUGUGAUUCGAGCCCUGGUCCUUCACGCUUCAGAGUCAAAGCUUGUCCAUGGUG
rnacentral:lncRNA from 13 species